rnacentral:rRNA from 1 species
UACGUAGGGAGCAAGCGUUAUCCGGAUUUAUUGGGUGUAAAGGGUGCGUAGACGGGAAAGCAAGUUAGUUGUGAAAUCCCCAGGCUUAACUUGGGAACUGCAACUAAAACUACUAAUCUUGAGUACUGGAGGGGAAAGUGGAAUUCCUAGUGUAGCGGUGAAAUGCGUAGAUAUUAGGAAGAACACCGGUGGCGAAGGCGACUUUCUGGACAGUAACUGACGUUGAGGCACGAAAGUGUGGGGAGCAAAC